rnacentral:lncRNA from 1 species
GAAAACUAUAUUCACUCAUUUCUUUGCUUUAAAAUAUUUGGCAUAGUAUAUUGAGUUGUGUUUCAUUCGUUUAGUUGAGUGUUGCAUUUAAAUAAUUUUAAUUGUGCUAGAUAAUUGUUUGUUGCAUAGUGUUGAUGUCUAGUAUUUUAUUUUAUUUUGUUUGAAUGUUGUCUAAGGUUUUUAAUAGUGUUAGUUUAAUUGUCAUGCUAGCUUUAAUUAGUUUGUUUGCAUCUGUGUCUUUAUUGACUUCUUUAAUUUCUGCAAAACCUAUCCUUUCACAAACCCCCCC